rnacentral:rRNA from 1 species
AACGAACGCUGGCGGCAUGCCUAACACAUGCAAGUCGAACGAACCCUUCGGGGUGAGUGGCGCACGGGUGCGUAACGCGUGGGAACCUGCCUUUAGGUUCGGAAUAACUCAGAGAAAUUUGAGCUAAUACCGGAUAAUGUCUUCGGACCAAAGAUUUAUCGCCUUUAGAUGGGCCCGCGUAGGAUUAGGUAGUUGGUGGGGUAAUGGCCUACCAAGCCGACGAUCCUUAGCUGGUCUGAGAGGAUGAUCAGCCACACUGGGACUGAGACACGGCCCAGACUCCUACGGGAGGCAGCAGUGGGGAAUAUUGGACAAUGGGCGAAAGCCUGAUCCAGCAAUGCCGCGUGAGUGAUGAAGGCCUUAGGGUUGUAAAGCUCUUUUACCAGGGAUGAUAAUGACAGUACCUGGAGAAUAAGCUCCGGCUAACUCCGUG